rnacentral:tRNA from 1 species
GGGCGGUUAGCUCAGUUGGUAGAGCGCCUGCCUUACAAGCAGGAGGUCACUGGUUCGAACCCAGUACUGCCCA